CACGUAGUUAGCCGGGGCUUCUUAGUCAGGUACCGUCAUUAUCUUCCCUGCUGAUAGAGCUUUACAUACCGAAAUACUUCUUCACUCACGCGGCGUUGCUGCAUCAGGGUUCCCCCCAUUGUGCAAUAUUCCCCACUGCUGCCUCCCGUAGGAGUCUGGGCCGUGUCUCAGUCCCAAUGUGGCCGUUCACUCUCUCAAGCCGGCUACUGAUCGUCGCCUUGGUAAGCCCGUUACCUUACCAACCAGCUAAUCAGACGCGGGUCCAUCCCAUAGCGAUAAAUCUUUACAAAACAGGACCAUGCGGUCCCGCUUUCCCAUGCGGUAUUAGCAGCCGUUUCCAGCUGUUCGUCCCCCUCGUAGUGGGGCACGGUUACCCACGCGUUACUCCACCCGUCCGCACUCAGUCAUCCCAUAUCGUCCUUCCCUUCCCCAGCAAGCUGGUUCUGUCUGCGGGUGGAUGUCUUCGUUCGACUUGCUAGUGUUGUAGGCACCGGCCCGCCGAGUCCGUU
rnacentral:rRNA from 1 species